rnacentral:rRNA from 1 species
GACGAACGCUGGCGGCGUGCUUAACACAUGCAAGUCGAACGGAAAGGCCCUGCUUUUGUGGGGUGCUCGAGUGGCGAACGGGUGAGUAACACGUGAGUAACCUGCCCUUGACUUUGGGAUAACUUCAGGAAACUGGGGCUAAUACCGGAUAGGAGCUCCUGCUGCAUGGUGGGGGUUGGAAAGUUUCGGCGGUUGGGGAUGGACUCGCGGCUUAUCAGCUUGUUGGUGGGGUAGUGGCUUACCAAGGCUUUGACGGGUAGCCGGCCUGAGAGGGUGACCGGCAACAUGGGGACGGAGAUACGGCCAAGAUUCCUACGGGAGGCAGCAGUGGGGAAUAUUGCACAAGGGGCGGAAGCCUGAGGCAGCAACGCCGCGGGGGGGAGGACGGCCUUCGGGUUGUAAACCGCUUUCGCCUGUGACGAAGCGUGAGGGACGGUAAGGGGUAAAGAAGCACCGGCUAACUACGU